rnacentral:rRNA from 1 species
CAGUAGCCGCGGUAAUACAGAGGGUGCGAGCGUUAAUCGGAUUUACUGGGCGUAAAGCGUGCGUAGGCGGCUUCUUAAGUCGGAUGUGAAAUCCCUGAGCUUAACUUAGGAAUUGCAUUCGAUACUGGGAAGCUAGAGUAUGGGAGAGGAUGGUAGAAUUCCAGGUGUAGCGGUGAAAUGCGUAGAGAUCUGGAGGAAUACCGAUGGCGAAGGCAGCCAUCUGGCCUAAUACUGACGCUGAGGUACGAAAGCAUGGGGAGCAAACAGGAUUAGAUACCCCGUAGUCCCUGUCUCUUAUACA